UGCGUUAAUGAGGUGCUGCGUCAUCACUGAAGGUGUGCAGGACGAUGUUUCUGUGAAAGAUAUUUCUGCUUGUUCCACACCCACUGAUGUUGAAUGUACUGCGAUACGAGGAUCCCCUCACUUUAUUGUCCAAGGGGACAUAAUGAAGCUAAGGGCAUGAAUGACCUGUAUUAAAGGUCAAGUGCUUGUGGGACCUCAGGACUUCUCCAGUGGUUUGACUGCAUUUUUUUCAAACUACUACGAUUUUAAUCUACACUAUCCCAAUGAUGCCUCAUGCACAUGGAAUUUAUCCAAAGGUACCUCUUUGGCCUACAGGCAGACAAGCUCAAGUUAAAGAGGCAGAAUGGAGACAUCAACUAAGAAGUGCAUUCAUUAGAAAACCUAGUGACUUUGAGUGGAUGUCAUUGUAAACAAGGUGUAAAAGGACAGUGCAGACUUGCAUGUAGCACAAGAUUUCCUCUUUUGCUAAAGAAAAACUGCUAAAAUAUUUUUGGGGAUAUUAAUUAAUACUUCCUUUUUCAGUUAUAAGCACAUCGGGAGGGAAUUUCUUCAUGGCCAGUGUAGACAGGAGGAAUGGGUGUAGCAAACAAUAAUUCAAAGCACUGCAAUAUACAAAUGGUCAUGUGAGAAUUGUUUUCAGACAGACUUGAAAAAAUGUGAACCUAUCUUUUCAUAUAUGGUAGUGCAUUCAAUUUUUCUGCGACUGCAGAUAUGCUAGUUUACAUUGUGUUGGUAAACAACUUUCUAAAUUGAAAACACAGUGGAACAAAAUUUGGGAGAUAAAGUAUGAAGCUUAUUAUGAAUAUUCAAGCUUUUAAGAUUUUGCAAAGUCAACCCACCAAAAUAAUUGCAUUGUCCUGCAGUAGUAGCAAUGACCUGUAAAAUGUAUAUAAAAUUGCAAAAUAAAUGUCUUAAACUGAUUUUGCUUGUUUCUUUGUUU